AGCACCAGCAUCCCUCUUAGGCAGCUGGCAGUCCACCAAGAAUUCCACCUAACCAUUUAAAGCCAGAGGGAGGCACGUCCCAUCAUGUUUCAGAAGGAGCAGGCACACCUUAUGUCUCACCAAGAGCUGCCCCUCCAAAGGGCAAGGAUUUAAAAGCACUCUCACAAAUCUGCUUGCAGAAAGAUAACUCAGUGUUUCUCAUAAAUCAGGCCACUUGAUUUAACUGCCAAGAUAUUCAACAAAAUUCUUUUUUAGGCUGCUCAUUUUUCAUUGCUUCAGGCUACGUUUAACCAAAUAAUCUUACCAUAAAUCUGGGCUCCCACUGCCAUUCAUUAUGAAGUGAGCCUUGUUUAGAAGUUCUUAGAAUCGGUACAUUCCUCCUGAAUGACAAUCCUCAAACGUCUUUCAUUUCAAAAGGAGCAAAAUGGAAAUCGGUUCUUCUCCAAGUUUACCAGAAGGGCAGCCAAGCACUGAUGUUAUACAGUAAGAUCUCAAACUGGGAACUAGGCAGCUAUUUUAAUCAGUGGACUUAUUUCACGUCUGUCAAGGACAGUAUAUUUAGAACUGGACAAGCUGUUUCUUCACUGCACCCAUAAUCUUAAAAAAAUGACCCAAGCACCGCAUUUCUCAGAUGGGUUCUUUUGCACUUUGGCAAACCCCCAUGAAAGAGCAUUUAGAUAACACUCCAGCUAUCAGCAGGGCCAGGAUUUAAAAAGUGCAAAGAAGCAUCCCCAAAGUGUAGAGCCAGAGCCGUUGUUGCUGUUUAACCAAUCAUAGCUAUUUAAUCAAGUCUUCUGGGCACCGUCAGAUCAUUUGAGUGAAUCACUCAGGUCAAGGCACGAAAAUAAAAUAAGUUCCUUUAUCACCUCUUAUCUGCCCAGAGUAGAGUGUAUGUGAAAGUGAUGUAAGUGAUGACCUCUGUGAAACUGAAACAGCAAACGGCAGAGGAAAGAUCUCCUGCUGCACUGAGGCAGAGCUUUUCUAAGGUACCACUUCCCAGCCAACCCAUGCAGCAGCGCAGUAGACUGCCGGUGUUUCCAGGAGAGCCUAGCCCCCUGUUUGGGCAUCAAAACCAGCAGCAGGAUUGCAGAAAGAAGCUCGGACCAGGCUUCAAAAAGUCAAGGAGAAGGCGUUUGACCAUCUGUUGUACAGCUUGACACAGCAGCAUCAGGGCUCUUGCCCUGACCCACACUGAGGUGGGAAAUGGGUCACUUGAAGCCUUUGAUUUCAGCUUUUAGGUAUCGACAGACUCACUGUGCAACCAGACCAACUUAUAUGUCCUUAGGAAACCAGGCUAGUAGCAGCCUGGUAAGGAUCCAUAGUCUUGCCUGGCUAUUAAAUAAGAUAGUCUAGGAAUCACUAUAUUGGAGCACACCUUAAUGCUGCUAAAGGAGGAGAAACCAGAUCCCAGCCAUCCAGCCCAUAUUACUGGGUAAAAGUUGAAGGCAACACCUGGUGAGAUCUAAAAAAAACAGGAUCUGCUUCAACAUUUGACCUCUCCAGGAGUGUCCUGAGACCCACUCUGCC
rnacentral:lncRNA from 1 species